ACGGUCACCUAACACAAGCUGGACAUUAAUACGCAAACACAGCAGGGAUGCCUUUGGAGGGGGGCAGUGGAAGGAGAGCUUGCUGUUCCAAGUGUUUAAACUGUCAUUUAAAUUUUAUCGUUUCUUUAAUAUUGAGGAGGUACACCAAAGCAUUAACAAGAUAAGCACAAGGACUCUGCUCUGAGCUUUAAUUCCACCACCAGCGAUCAUGUAGCACGUAUUCUUAUGAGAUCAGGAAAUAUAAAAAGACGUAUAAAUAAUUUAGAAAAGAGACUUCUCGAGACAGCUCCCUGUUGGCAGCCCGGGAGAUCUGCUAGCAUCCAGGCCCACGCCGGAUGGGGCGGGGCUUCCAGGCCCUCAGCCCCGCCCACUUAAGCUUCUUCCAAAUUCGGGAGCUCGAACCCGGAGUGACCACGCCCCAGGACCACAGCAGGAGACUGCGGACUUCCCUCUGCAGGGCAAUGCCCACCGGAACCCGUGCAGCCGGACAGCAGCCAAAAUCAGCCGCAGGAUUUGGUCCUGUGCCGCCUCUAUCGCGAGAGCCAGACUUCCCGAGGCCGGGAAUGAGGUGUCCUCCGGAAGGGACAAGGCACCCCAAAUGGUUCCCAGGCCCUGGCACGUGAUUAGCCUCAUGUACUUAUCCCGGUCCUUGGCUCCAGGAACUCCAUGCAGAAGUUACCUAGCUCAGGAGCUUCUAGGGCGCCGGAGCUGUCCGCCGCCUGGUGCUGAAAGGGACAAGGCGGGUGCGAGAUGGCCUGCUGCCAGGCCGGCCACAGGACGGGUACCGCCACUGCUUGGGGAGGGCAGUGACGCGCGAUGCUUGGCUGUUUCGUGGCACGCCCACGGCGUCCUGGCACAGGGAUUUGACCCAAACGCGUUUUUUUAAAAAGAUGUCCAGCACCUUGCACCUGGAUUGGAACCCACGUGGAUACCGUUCUGCCUCCCAAGCCAACCGUGCGGAUGCUGAAAUUGACGUUGGAAAGAUGUGAUUUCUCUCCGGAAUUUACCUUUAUCCAGCUGCUCCGCCCACAUUGAAUGGUUCCGUGUACCGUGGGGUGUAACUUAGAGUGACAUCCCUUGUACUGCCUGCUUGCUGGGCACAGGCAUGGCAAGAACCAAGUUGUCCUUAGUGGCUCCCUCUUGGCAGCCCCUCCUCCCAGGUGAAAAACAAGAUGUGACUGGUAGGUGGCAGCACUGACUUAAGCUAUACUGUCCUAUCGUAAGGUGUGGCCACUGCACUGUCCGGCUGCUCUACAGGCCUGGGCUCCAGGCAGGCCGGCAGCACUGGUGGUCUUGGGCAUUUGAGGGUCCCUGUUUACCCAAAAUUAAAAAAAGUGUAUUUGGUCAAUUGACCAUUUACUGUAUUCUACCUUCUUCAGGCCACAUUGCUUUGCCCACUGCUGUCUCUCUCAUCUGUGUACGGCUUGGCACACCCUCAUACUAAUGUCUGUCCACAGAAUGAAUCGACAGGCCAAGGGCAGCCAGCCACCUGUGCUCUUUCCUGGUGCUCACCAAGCUUGAGCCCUUGGGAAGGGAUCAAACUGGGGGAGAUACAGGCAGGUCCUGUUGGAGUAAAAGUCCGGGGUGUGGAUUCAGCAAUCGGGACCUGAUAUCGUUGAUUCACUUCCUAGCAUACCAGAAGCCUGGAAAAGUUCCAGUUCAACUCUCCUGAAAACAAUUCACCAGGCUCUGCCCUCAGUGUCUGUUCCUGUUUCGAGUUCCUGCCCUGACUUUAUUCAUGAUAGACUGUGUUUCUGGACCCACAAGCUGAAAUAAACCCUUUCCUCUCCAA